rnacentral:rRNA from 1 species
GACGAACCUUGCUAACGUUAUUCGGAAUUACUGGGCUUAAAGGGUGCGUAGGCGGUGCAGCAAGUCGGGUGUGAAAUCCCUCAGCUCAACUGAGGAACGGCGCCCGAAACUGCUGUGCUCGAGGAAGAUAGAGGUACGCGGAACUUAGGGUGGAGCGGUGAAAUGCGUUGAUAUCCUAAGGAACACCGGCGGCGGAAGCGGCGUACUGGGACGGUACUGACGCUGAGACGCGAAAGCGUGGGGAGCGAACAGG